GCCUAUUAAGUUAAUUUUUAUAUAUGGUAAAACCACUUCAGCCUUCUUGCCUUGAGAACCCUGUGAACAGUAUGAAGAGGCAAAAAAGUAAUGAGAUCCCCAAGAACGGUUGCUGGCAGCCCACUACUGCUGUUGCUGGGGGCUGAGGGUUGAGUGGGUCUGAGUGCUUGCCUGUGAGCAAUUCAGGGCCCCAAGAGAUUCCCAAAGAAACUGCUGCUCUGAGGUUAUUCAUCUGAUGGGAAGACGCUGGUGAGAAAAGACAACAUUUUCUGGGGACCUGCAGAUUGUGUAGCCAGUCCCACCUGUAGGGCAUCAGAAAAGAGACAUUUCACCUGAAGUUUCUGGGUCAAAAGGCCCCAUGGGAAGGGAGAGGGACCUCCAAGCUGCAGGUCUGAUGAAAGCAAGCACGACAGAGCAAGGCGCUGGAGACUGGAGGUGCCAGCUUCUCAUCAAGCCCUUUAAUGAGAAAGCUCUCACGGCAAACCCAGACUGGGGUGGGGGAAGGAUCGGAGGGGUGAGUCAGCCUCACUAUCUGCCUGUCCAGGUCUAU